GCCAGUGUGGCAUAGUGGCUUGAGUGUUGGACUAUAACUUUGGAGUCCAGGGUUUGAUUCCGGGCUCGGCCA
rnacentral:tRNA from 1 species